rnacentral:tRNA from 1 species
GACUCAGUGGCCGAGUGGAUAACGUGAUGGUGUUUGAACCGAAAGGUACUGGGUUCGAGUCCAUCGCAGAGUG